AUAGUGGUUCUCAAGAUGGAAGAGAUGAAGAUGAUGAGGAUGAUUACGAAGAGGCUGGUGGUAGUAAUCGGCUUUUGGGAUUUAUGUUUGGCAAUGUUGAUAACUCUGGCGACCUCGAUGUUGAUUACCUUGAUGAGGACGCGAAAGAGCAUCUUUCUGCUCUGGCUGACAAGCUGGGGUCAUCCUUAACAGAUAUAGACGUAUGGAACUCAAUCAAUCCUAUGUUUUCCUUAGUACUAGCUUUAUUUGAGUUGAAUAAU